rnacentral:tRNA from 1 species
GGAUUGUUGCUCAGUGGUAGAAUGCUUACCUCACAUGUUUGAGGCUCUGGGUUUGAUUCUCAGCACCA